GCGCGCUUAGCUCAGCGGAACGAGCGCCUGGCCUACAUCCAGGAUGUCGGCGGUUCGAUUCCGUCAGCGCGCACCA
rnacentral:tRNA from 2 species